AUUGAACGCUGGCGGCAGGCCUAACACAUGCAAGUCGAACGGUAACAGGAAACAGCUUGCUGUUUCGCUGACGAGUGGCGGACGGGUGAGUAAUGUCUGGGAAACUGCCUGAUGGAGGGGGAUAACUACUGGAAACGGUAGCUAAUACCGCAUAACGUCGCAAGACCAAAGAGGGGGACCCUCGGGCCUCUUGCCAUCGGAUGUGCCCAGAUGGGAUUAGCUUGUUGGUGGGGUAACGGCUCACCAAGGCGGCGAUCCCUAGCUGGUCUGAGAGGAUGACCAGCCACACUGGAACUGAGACACGGUCCAGACUCCUACGGGAGGCAGCAGUGGGGAAUAUUGCACAAUGGGCGCAAGCCUGAUGCAGCCAUGCCGCGUGUAUGAAGAAGGCCUUCGGGUUGUAAAGUACUUUCAGCGGGGAGGAAGGGAGUAAAGUUAAUACCUUUGCUCAUUGACGUUACCCGCAGAAGAAGCACCGGCUAACUCCGUG
rnacentral:rRNA from 1 species